UACGUAGGGGGCAAGCGUUGUCCGGAUUUAUUGGGCGUAAAGAGCGUGUAGGCGGCCAGGUAGGUCCGCUGUGAAAACUCGAGGCUCAACCUCGAGAUGUCGGCGGAAACCAUCUGGCUAGAGUCCGGAAGAGGAGAGUGGAAUUCCUGGUGUAGUGGUGAAAUGCGUAGAUAUCGGGAGGAACACCAGUGGCGAAGGCGACUUUCUGGCCUGUUCUUGACGCUGAGGCGCGAAAGCUAGGGGAGCAAACGGG
rnacentral:rRNA from 1 species